AGGAAAUAGAUACCCGGGUAGUCCACGCCGUAAACGAUGGGUACUAGGUGUAGGAGGUAUCGACCCCUUCUGUGCCGUAGUUAAACACAAAUAAAGUACCCCGCCUGGGGAGUACGGCCGCAAGGUUGAAACUCAAAGGAAUUGACGGGGGCCCGCACAAGCGGUGGAGCAUGUGGUUUAAUUCGACGCAACGCGAAGAACCUUACCAGGGCUUGACAUCCUCUGACGUCCCAAGAGAUUGGGAGUUCAAGUGCUUGCACUUGACAGAGAGACAGGUGGUGCAUGGUUGUCGUCAGCUCGUGUCGUGAGAUGUUGGGUUAAGUCCCGCAACGAGCGCAACCCUUAUCUUUAGUUGCCAGCAAUUCGGUUGGGCACUCUAGAGAGACUGCCGGUGACAAACCGGAGGAAGGUGGGGAUGACGUCAAAUCAUCAUGCCCCUUAUGUCCUGGGCUACACACGUGCUACAAUGGCCAGUACAAAGGGAAGCGAAGGGGUGACCCGGAGCCAAUCCCAUCAAAGCUGGUCUCAGUUCGGAUUGCAGG
rnacentral:rRNA from 1 species